AACAUGACCAUUCCAUGAAUAUUGCUUUUGUACUGGGAUAGUUUAUUUCCAGUUUUAUAUUUUUUACUGUGAAGCAUUAGUUUUUCUUAACUGAUGCUUUCAAUCAUGUUUUCUUAAAAGAUGCGUGAUGAUGUGUCCUAGAACACCUGGUGUUGGAAUUGGUCCAUGUGGUAAAAAGUGUCAAAGCGGUGGUUGUGGCUCUGGAAAAAGUUUUUUUUAAUGGCUGUGGUCAUGAUUGUAAGAAGAAAGUUAAAACGUGCUUUGAAAUAUGGUAAGUUAUGUUAAAGAUUAACUUCACAAUUCGUAUAACAAACAUGUACAAUUGUCCCGAUGUACAUUUUAAUACAUAAGAAAAAAAAAAGGUUUAAGAAAAUCAAUCAAUUAACGUCGGUUCGGUGAUUUUCACAUCAAUCAUAUUAUUUUACACAUAUUACAUUUAACAGUUUACACACUGUGUAUCUUCAGCAAUGGUUUUACACAUUCAUUGAUCUCCUAAACUGAUUAAUAAAUAACGUUUGAUUGUCACGAUUGUGCUUGUGUUCUAAAUAACUCUUGUACGUAUGAGACAUAUCACAGAUAUUUUUUCAAUGAGUAUGAUGACAGCUAGCACUAGUGGAAAAAGAUCCGUAUAAGCAUUUGAAGUAUCUGAGAUAACUCACACUCUUUAAAUAGCUUCAAAUGUUUUAUGUGAUAUUUUAAAUUUGUGAACCGGUUUCUCUCCACAUUUGCCAUGGCUUUGUCAGUAACGCUUUAUGAAUUUUUAAUAUCCUUUUGAAUUGCACUCUCUCAGUUUGCAUUUUUUUAACAUACUGUCAUUAAAGUUGAGAUGAAUGCCUUACUACGGUUUAGCUUAAUCUAAAUACACAACAUCGAAAUAAUUCCAUCAAAAAGGUUAAACUUACGAAGCAGGACCGUAAAGAAUGAAAUAAAUUCGUUUUAGCUCAUGACCUUAUAACUAGCUCUCGAUGCCGUUUGUAUUUGUCACUUAACCUUAUCUUAUAAAUGUUUAAAGUAAUAGUACUGAAAAAAAUUAAUAUUUUUCUGCCUUCAGAUUUUGAUUUUUUUUAAUUUGACAAUAUAAACGAAUUUAAAUUUAAAGGAAGACUCCUUUGUGGCCCCAAAUAAUAGCAAUUUUACAAAAUUGUUAAAAUAUAAACUAUUAGCUAUUUAUUGGAAAGAAGAAUGCUUCUGUUACAUAAAUAUGGGCUGUUUUUGACAAUGCAAUGCACACACAUCGGGUGCUAGCAUCAUUGAGUCAUGCUGAUUUACUGAAAUCUGCACAAUUUUAGAAUGGAAGUGGCCGCAUUUGAGUUCAUUCCUUAUAUUUAAAUGUAAGUAGUAUUUGAUGAUAAUACAUAACAUAUAUAAAGGUUGAGAGUGAACACGAAUGCUGCCACUUACAAUUUUUACAAAAAUCAUCGGGAAAGUGACAUAGUAUGACAUAUUUGAUAGAAUUUUCUUUUUUAAGCUUCAAUUUGAAUGGACGAAUUUAACAGUUGCUGCAUUUGUAUUCACCUAUAUCAUUUAUACUAAUCUAUAAUUUAAUUUAAAUCGUACAUUUUUAGAAGUAUUGUCAAUCUAGAAACAAAUGUUGAUGAAAAUGAAUUGUAUGUAAUAUGAAAAAUUGUUUUACGAUCUUACAAAAUAUAAUUAUUGUGAUAAAUAUAUUCAUAAAAGAGUAUCACACACAACUGCAACUUUUUAUUUAUUUCGAGAAUGUCAUAAAUAAUAAGUAUGAUAUUGGCUGGUUACUAAAAUUAGAUAGAUUGUUUGAUGAAAAUUCUGUUGUAUGUAAAUGCAGUUCUUCUUUUGUUUUUAUCCAUCGUGGUUGAGAUCAAUAUUUCAUUUUUGCUGUUCAGUCGUGAACCUUAUUCGAUUAGAUGUUCUUUCAGUGCACUUCACUUACUGAAGAACAGUUUAGACUGUUACUUUUAAGUUCUGAUAUGUUGUUUUGAUGAUGAUGGCAAUGCCACGAAAGGAGGUAACAUUCAAUAUUGACGAUUUGUACAUUCGCAAUUUACGAGAUAUGUUUUUCGUCUGAUUAGAAAACGAAUCUUUGCUUGUGUCAUUUCUCUCUGCAAUAAUUGAUAUAUUUUUUUAAGUAAUCCUUGUUGUCAAUUCCAAAUACAAAUACAUCCAUUAAAAUUAUUCCCGAAAAUAUAUGAUAACAGAUGAUUUUGUCCAUUUUCAAUAAGAUUUGUAUUUUCAAAUGAUUAACUUUGUAGGUCAUAGUUCAACACGAACGACGAACAAAGCUCUAAAUAUCAGAUUGUGUUUGUUUGAUAUUUCAACUCUUGAAAGUGAUGCUCGGAAACCCUAAUUUGAUAUAAAUGUCUAAUUUAUUAUCAAUGCUGUCUACAACCAAAAAGAUGUAAACUAAAAGAAAGUAUGGAAACUUGGAUUAAGGAAUUGUCUGCAUGAUUACAUUUUGUUUUAAUAAAAUUGAUAGCCUAAAUAGCAUUUUUUUAUUAAUGUCAAUAUCAAAGAAAAUAUUUAGUGAUGGGAUGAGAAUAUGUAGAAUUCGCAAACAAAGCAACAUACUACUUACUGUCUGACACAGUGCUUUCGUAGGUUUAAUUCAAUUGUUAUUUGUAAGCAUGGUAAAUAACAGUUACUUUAACAUGUUUAAAGGGUGG
rnacentral:lncRNA from 1 species